UUUUCAUUUGUUUUUUUUCUUAUUAAACAUUAAUUUAUUCAUAAUUAUAUUUUUUUAACUAUAAAAUGAUUGAAUAAACAAAUCACAAACAGAACUCUUAAUCUGUUACAAAGUAACUUGUAAAUGAUGAAUUUAUUUAUUUUUUAUUUUGUAGGUAGAAACAAAGGUGUGAUUAAGAAGGCCAAGAAAUGUUCAAACAUAGGAAAUAUUGAUGAUGGGAGAGUUAAUAAGGAGAUUCCAUAUUUUGAAGUCACAUUGACACCAACUUAUGUCAAUUAUUAUAGUAUGAGGAUACCAAAUGUGUUUUCAAGAAAAUAUUUGAAAGAGACGGAAGAAAUUGCAAUCUUGAAAGUUGGGGAGGACAUGACUAUGGAAGUGGGGUUCAGGUUUGAUGCUAAUGCCAAAGGAAUGGUUUUUCAAAAUGGUUGGAAGAAUUUUUCACAAAAAUAUAAUUUACAAAUUGGUGAUAUUUGUAAAUUUGUGAUGACACAAUCCAAACCACUUUUAUUUUCCAUUGCUAUUACUCGAGCCAAAAUGGAAUCAAAACCUAAGAAGUUCCAAGGUGUCUCUUCGGGUGAUGAUACAAUUCCAAAAAGAAAAAGCAUUGGAGAAAGUUCUAGAGGUAGAGGUCGCCCAAAAAAACAUGUUUCCAAAGAUAUGGUGUGAAGGUCCAAAUUUGUUGGGAGUUCAAUGCAACAACCUUAACAAGAGAGUUGUAGCACAAGACUUGCACUAUCAAGAUCUAUGGAGUACAGCCAUCUGUAAGUAAUGUGCUCAGUGGUGGUAAAUCAGGAAUCAGUGAAAUGCGAUUGAUUUGUUGAUAUUGGUACGUAGAUAAAACUGUUGAAAUUGUUUCAUUUAGAGCAUAAUAUAAUUAUUUUCUUCACAUUGUCGAUCUAAAUCAACCAUGUCACUCUUUGCAAUGUGUAAUAAAUUGUCUUUCACUCUAGAAGAUUAUCAUAAGUAAAGUAUUUGAAUGUAACUACAUGUGUUGGUGUCAUCGAUUACAGGUGCAUAACUGUGGUUACAUAUGUUCACAUGAUUUGUUGUUUAAGCAUCCAUAUGUAAAAUACGGUUAAAAUUUUGUAGAACAAUGUUAUUUAGUACUCUCUUCUUAUGUCUUGAAUUUGUAGGAAUCGAUGAAAUGCGAUUGAUUUGUUAAUAUUGGUAUGUAGAUAAAACCAUUGAAAUUGUUUUAUUUAGAGCAUAUAUAAUUAUUUUCUUCACAUUGUCGAUCUAAAUCAACCAUGUCACUCUUUGCAAUAUGUUUUACAAUUCUUGCCAAACCCUCCGCCGCAAUUGCAAAUAAAAACGGCGAUAGCGGACCCCCCUGCCUCAAUCCUCUCUUGACUAAGAAUUCUUCCGUAGGGCUUCCAUUAACUAAUACAGACAUGCUGCUGGAAAAAAUUCCAGCCUCCAACCAGCUUAACCAUUUUUGACCAAAUCCCAUUUUGACCAUGACACCACGCAAAUAUUUCCAAUCAACACAAUCAUAAGCUUGAGAAAAAUCGACUUUAAACAUAAUGCAGCUCCUUCUUUCUCUUCUCGCAAAGUCAAUCAACUCAUUAGUUGCAACAAUGCCAUCAAGUAUCUUCCUACCGGGGAAACAUGUUUGGGUUUCGGAAACAAUCUUCCCGUUCACUUUGCUGAGUCUUGCUGCUAGAAUCUUGGAAACCACUUUAUACAAGCAUCCUAUCAAGCAAAUGGGACGAUAAUCGUCUUGGCGUUAAAGAUUCUCAACUUUAGGAAUCGGCGCAAGAAAAGAGGAAGUCAUUGCCUUAGGUAACUUUGAUAUCUUAUGAAACUCCUGAAUGAAAUCAAUUAUAUCUCCUCCAACAAUACUCCAGCAUUUUUUGAUAAAUUUCAUGUUGAAUCCAUCGGGACCAGGACUUUUAUCCCCAUAACAGUCCAAAAUAACAUCUUCAAUCUCUUCUUUUGUAAAAAAAUCCUCCAAUCUCAUGUUGUCCUCAGCUGUCAAAGAAUUAAAUUCCAAUCCAUUGAUAUUUGGUCUGAUGUCAGUCUGCUCCUUAAACCGUUCAGCAAAAUGCAGUUUAAUCUCAUGCUUCACCUCUUCCAUAGAACUAACCACCCCACUACUCGUGCUAAUCUCCACAAUUGCAUUCCUUCUGUACCAAGCCUUCAUGAUUGAGUGAAAAUACCUUGUGUUGAACUCUCCCUCUUAUACCCACUUUUGCCUAGAUUUCUAUCUUAGAAUACACUCCUUUAAUUGCAGACAGUUCCAAAUUGAUUCAGACUUAGCUUUCCUCAAGUCUUGCAUAUCUUGUGAUAUUAAAGUUCUGGAAUUUUCCAUUUCCAACUCAAGAUCAUUUUAGACAUCAACAUUUCUCUCCACCUUUAAAUCAAUCCACCCAAAUACGUUUUCAUUCCACCACUUUAACCUCACCUCCAACCUCUUAAAUUUUUCUUUGAUUACAAUUGAUUUCUUGCCCUGGAUCACAAAUGACUCCCAUUCUUUCUUGACAAACGAUAGGAAUUCCGGAUCGUCAUACCAGGCAGACCUAUGAUCCGAGACAGACCUAUGAUCCGAGACAUCCUUAUUUCCAUAAGAUUGAGCCACGACAUUCCAACUCUGAAUAAUUCCUUCAGAUAAUAGGAACCUAUCUCCACGACUGCUAGAAAUUGUUUUAAUGUAUGCAUACAUAUAUGUAUAUGAAUAGUAAUA